rnacentral:miRNA from 7 species
AGGUACCAUUGACUAAAGCUAG